AAUAGGAGUGCAAAGGCGUAGCUAGGGUUGGGUUGAUUAAUCGGUGAUCAGAGUUUGGUUUGCAAUUUGUUCUGGUGGCUAUGGAUUCUCUUCUAGCCAACUACGCCUCUUCGGACGAAGACGAAGACCAACAUAAACCAAUCCCGUCUAAAACGACGUCGUCUUCUUCCUCUUCUCUCUUCCCAUCUCUUCCUCUACCGAAAUCUUCUACCACUUCCCUCUUUAACUUUCUUCCUCCUCCUAAACAACCUUCUUCCGAUACCCCAACCGUUGUUCCCUCCAAUUUUUCCCAAACCUCUUCCCUCCCCAAACCUAAUUCCCAAAUCCAUCAAAAACCCAAAAGGCUCGUUCAAUUCAAACCCCCAAUUAUUCCUUUAUCAAAACCCACCGAACUUGAUGACGAUGAAGAAGAUGACAAAGAAGAAGAACGAAACAGAAGAAGAAAGGCUGAAUCUUCAAUUCAAACUCCAUCGGUGAAAUCAUUCUUAUCCACCAUUCCAGCACCUAGAAACUCUUCAACUCUUGGUGUUCAAUCAAGCUCCGGUUCUGGAAGGAGAUCCAUCCUCGAAACUAGUACACCGGCACCGGUUUCAAGUUCCAGUGACGGUGGUUCUGCCGCCGUAGAGAGCAGUGUUCCCGUUGAUCAAAAUGGAGGGAAUUAUGAAAAUUACCAAUAUGCCACUGACCAGUAUGAUACUUAUGGGAAUUAUAGUUGGGGUGUUGAGGCUGAGGCUGAGGCUGAGGCUGGUGCUGGCAGUGGCACAGCUUCCAAUGGUGAUGGCUAUGGGAGCUAUGGUGCCUAUGAGGAUUAUGGGCAGUAUGGAAAUAACUGGGUUGAUGGGUCGGUGGCAACGGUUCCGGUGGAGGCUUCUGGGAUUAGUGAGAGUGUGUUGAAGUUUCCUGGGAAGAGAGGUAGGAAGGAGGUUCCAGUGGAAGUGAUUGAGGUGAAGCAAGAUGAGUUGAUUAAGAAUAGACCAAGAGAGGAUCAAGCCAAGCUCACCGGGUUAGCUUUUGGACCCUCUUAUCAGUUUCAUGAUCUAUCGUUGAAUUAAUACACAACAGAGCUUUUUGGAGUUAAUCAAUCCAUGUAACCGCCUCAUCUGCCUGUUUCAGCAAAGGGAAAGCCUUCAAAACUGCUUAAGAGGAAGCAUCAAAUUGGUUCAUUGUACUAUGAUAUGAAACAAAAUGAAAUGAAACUUGCUGAGCGCCGUGCAAAGGGCAUGCUUACCAAAGCUGAAACACAAGCGAAAUAUGGAUGGUGAUUUGGGGGUUGAUGCUGUAAUUUUAUGAAUUUCUAUUGUAACAUGAUAUACAAAGCUGAGCAUUUAAGAUGUAGCUGCAGCCCUUGUGUUUUACUGUUCUGUAUGUAUACAUUUACUCCAUUUUUCAGUGCAAAGGAUGAAAUUUAUCAUAUAAUCUUACUGUGGAGUUUUGUUCCUAUGAUGAAUAAAAUCAUACUUCAUUCCCUUGAUUCA